rnacentral:rRNA from 1 species
UACAGAGGGUGCGAGCGUUGUUCGGAAUUAUUGGGCGUAAAGAGCGUGUAGGCGGCCAUGUAGGUCCGUUGUGAAAACUCGAGGCUCAACCUCGAGACGCCGAUGGAAACCAUAUGGCUAGAGUCCGGAAGAGGAGAGUGGAAUUCCUGGUGUAGCGGUGAAAUGCGCAGAUAUCAGGAAGAACACCCGUGGCUAAGGCGGCUCUCUAGUACGGUACUGACGCUGAGACGCGAAAGCGUGGGGAGCGAACAGG